AUUGAACGCUGGCGGCAGGCCUAACACAUGCAAGUCGAGCGGAUGAAGGGAGCUUGCUCCUGGAUUCAGCGGCGGACGGGUGAGUAAUGCCUAGGAAUCUGCCUGGUAGUGGGGGAUAACGUCCGGAAACGGGCGCUAAUACCGCAUACGUCCUGAGGGAGAAAGUGGGGGAUCUUCGGACCUCACGCUAUCAGAUGAGCCUAGGUCGGAUUAGCUAGUUGGUGGGGUAAAGGCCUACCAAGGCGACGAUCCGUAACUGGCCUGAGAGGAUGAUCAGUCACACUGGAACUGAGACACGGUCCAGACUCCUAAGGGAGGCAGCAGUGGGGAAUAUUGGACAAUGGGCGAAAGCCUGAUCCAGCCAUGCCGCGUGUGUGAAGAAGGUCUUCGGAUUGUAAAGCACUUUAAGUUGGGAGGAAGGGCAGUAAGUUAAUACCUUGCUGUUUUGACGUUACCAACAGAAUAAGCACCGGCUAACUUCGUG
rnacentral:rRNA from 1 species